AUUGAACGCUGGCGGCAGGCCUAAUACAUGCAAGUCGAGCGGAGCGGAGGACGGGUGAGUAAUGCCUAGGACUCGGCCUGGUCGUGGGGGAUAAGGUCUGGAAACGGGCGCUAAAACCGCAUACUAUCUGCUGAGGCUGGGUCGGAUUAGCUAGUGGGUGGGGUAAAGGCUUACCAAGGCGACGAUCCGUAACUGGUCUGAGAGGCUGAUCAGCCACAUUGGAACUGAGACACGGCCCAAACUCCUACGGGAGGCAGCAGUGGGGAAUCUUGCACAAUGGACGAAAGUCUGAUCGAGCCAUGCCGCGUGUGUGAAGAAGGUCUUCGGAUUGUAAAGUACUGUUGUCGGGGAGGCGUUACUCGCCGAAAAAGCACCGGCUAACUCCGUGCCAGCAGCCGCGGUAAUUC
rnacentral:rRNA from 1 species